rnacentral:lncRNA from 1 species
AAAAAAAGAAAGAAAGAAAAAAAGAGAAAAAAGAAGAAAAGAAAAAAAAAAGAGAAAAGAAAGAAAAAAAAACAACAUGAAAAGAAAGAAAGAGAAAAGCGAAAAACAAUAAAAGAACAGCUUUUGAAAAGGCGACAUGCACUAUAGAGAUAAAAGGAAAAGAGGAUUGCAUAACCCUACAGGAAUAAUAGAAAAGAAACGUAGUGAGAGAAUGAUUUCAUAUACUCUGAACCAAAAACCUUUGUUCAAUUUCAUAGCCUACCUAAACCAAAACCCCGUUACAACCCAAAAGAAAAAA